rnacentral:lncRNA from 1 species
AAUCAAGGUCCAUUUGGUCGAAUCAAAGAUAUGGACUUGACCAUCUACAACUAUUGUAUUAGAGAAAUUCUGAUUAAUCUAAUUCAACAUUCGAUUAGACUUAAUCAAUUUUUUUAUAUGGUUAAUUAAUUUUUUGAUUCUAACCAUAGGUCUAAUCCAAUUAAAAGGAUCUGAUUUGAACUAACCUAUGCUCACAUGUUUUAUAUAAUGUCAUU